UCGCUAAACUGCCCCCAGCAAGCAAUGGGUUAAAAGCGGGGGGGGGGGGGAAGACGGAAAGAAAGAAAAAGAGAAAACCUAGCUUGACUUUGCCUCUUGGAAAGCUUUAGGUUGCAGCCCUGCCUUCCAAGCAUUCUUUAAACUAGAAAUGUGGGAGGGACUCCAGGAGAGAGAGAGAGAGAUGGCUAUCAACUGAAUUCAUUACUGUAAACAUCUCCCUGGGGUGUCAGGCAGGGAGGAAAAAAAGGCACGACUUACAUUAGCAGGGAAUAGUCAGAUCUGAGGCAUCAUUACUGCUAAGAUCAGGCUGCAAUCCCGGCUGAAGGCAGGCGCAGGACUCGGGGAGAGCCAGACACGCACACUCACACAAAUACUCCCAUCGACAGAUGUGUCCGAUGCCUCCUCCGACUUGCAAGGGUCCUGGGUCUCCGUGCCUGCUCCUCAUGUGACCCCCUCCUCAUUGGCAGAGGACUGAACGAGAGAAAAAGGAAGGAGAGAAGCCCCAGGACCAGGCGUACCCGCGGCCCCUUCUCCUCUAUUUUUUACCGGAGACGGAGGAACGGCGGGGGGAAGAGCGAGCGACCCGAGGAGAGACAGUGCGUUGGGCAUGCCAGAGCCGCGGGCUGCGCGCCGGAGGAGGAGGUGGCGGAGAAGGGGGGAGGACGAUGCCGCUNAGGGAUUCCCGGACGCCGCCAGGCAGGCCAGAUCUGGCGGAUAGCUGUUAUGAGGACUUUGCUGACUUCAGAAAGCUGAGUGUAACAAACACCAACAGACUUCAGUGAAAGGAAAUAUUAUCCCUCCAAGAAACUCAUACACAGACGACUUUUGGUAGCUUUAAAUUAACCUGUUGCUCACCUGCAAAGACACAGCUAUUGUUUCUUUCAGCACACAUGGAAGAAGGCAACAAACUUUGUAACCCUGGCUAAUAAGACUGUGGCUUUCUUAUCAAAAGUAGGAGGUAGGCCAAUUACAAGAGGAUUAUUUUAUACUUAGCCUCCAGGACUUUAACUCUGGCCUGAACACUGGACAUAAAUAGAAGCCAAUUUUAAUGACCUGAGAUUUUGCUACCUGUGCUUUAUUAUUGUUAUCAGUUCUUUAACACUUUGGUAC
rnacentral:lncRNA from 1 species